UCCCUGAUAUCUCAAUUGGUUAAGAAUCUGCCUGCAAUGCAGGAGACCCUGGUUCGAUUCCUGGGUUGAGAA
rnacentral:tRNA from 1 species